AUUGAACGCUGGCGGCAGGCCUAACACAUGCAAGUCGAACGGUAACAGGAAGCAGCUUGCUGCUUUGCUGACGAGUGGCGGACGGGUGAGUAAUGUCUGGGAAACUGCCUGAUGGAGGGGGAUAACUACUGGAAACGGUAGCUAAUACCGCAUAACGUCGCAAGACCAAAGAGGGGGACCUUCGGGCCUCUUGCCAUCGGAUGUGCCCAGAUGGGAUUAGCUAGUAGGUGGGGUAACGGCUCACCUAGGCGACGAUCCCUAGCUGGUCUGAGAGGAUGACCAGCCACACUGGAACUGAGACACGGUCCAGACUCCUACGGGAGGCAGCAGUGGGGAAUAUUGCACAAUGGGCGCAAGCCUGAUGCAGCCAUGCCGCGUGUAUGAAGAAGGCCUUCGGGUUGUAAAGUACUUUCAGCGGGGAGGAAGGGAGUAAAGUUAAUACGUUUGCUCAUUGACGUUACCCGCAGAAGAAGCACCGGCUAACUCCGUG
rnacentral:rRNA from 1 species